GAUGAACGCUGGCGGCGUGCCUAAUACAUGCAAGUCGAGCGAACGGACGAUAAGCUUGCUUCCCUGAUGUUAGCGGCGGACGGGUGAGUAACACGUGGAUAACCUACCUCUAAUACUGGGAUAACUUCGGAAAACCAGAGCUAAUAACGGAUAAUAUUUUGAACCGCAUGAUUCAAAAGUGAAUGACGGUUUUCCUGUCACUUAUAGAUGAAUCCGCGCUGCAUUAGCUAGUUGGUAAGGUAACGGCUUACCAAGGCAACGAUGCAUAGCCGACCUGAGAGGGUGAUCGGCCACACUGGAACUGAGACACGGUCCAGACUCCUACGGGAGGCAGCAGUAGGGAAUCUUCCGCAAUGGGCGAAAGCCUGACGGAGCAACGCCGCGUGAGUGAUGAAGGUCUUCGGAUCGUAAAACUCUGUUAUUGGGGAAGAACAUAUGUGUAAGUAACUGUGGACAUCUUGACGGUACCUAAUCAGAAAGCCCCGGCUAACUACGUG
rnacentral:rRNA from 1 species